AACGUAGGUGGCAAGCGUUGUCCGGAAUUACUGGGUGUAAAGGGAGCGCAGGCGGAAUGGUAAGUUGAAUGUGAAAACUAUGGGCUCAACCCAUAGACUGCGUUCAAAACUACUGUUCUUGAGUAAUGUAGAGGUAGGCGGAAUUCCCGGUGUAGCGGUGGAAUGCGUAGAUAUCGGGAGGAACACCAGUGGCGAAGGCGGCCUACUGGGCAUUUACUGACGCUGAGGCUCGAAAGUAUGGGGAGCAAACAGG
rnacentral:rRNA from 1 species